GAUCAUUCAUCAUCAACAAUAACUGCAUCUGAGAAUUAUAGUUCUACAGUAACCGUGGAGUCUAGGUCAACAAUUACUAUUUCUCAUCCAAGCCGUUUUUGUUUAACUGCUACACAUUCCCUGACUCUGCCAAGGAAAAGGGUAAAAUCAAAAUGAUAUCCUGAGGACCUAAGCACUGAUGAUUCCACCGUUUCAAGAGCUUAAUCACUUGUCACCAGAUUAUGGAAAAAAAAUAAAGAAGAAAAAAUUAAAAUUCGAAGAUUGCAACAAGCAAAUUUGCGCCAAAGAAAUUGAAUUAGAUGUCUCAAGUCAUUAUUAAAAUACUUACAUGAAAUAAUAACAUGAUUUUAUGGAAAAGCCCAACAUACUACAUAUUUUAUUUGACUUGUAAAAGCACUUGUUUGUAUAUUACUACUAAUAAACUCUCUAAUCUAAUCUAUUGUA